UUUUUAUCCUUCAUUCCAUUCCUUUUUAUGCUUGAACACCGGACAGACGUAAAAAGCAUCGCACUGCAUGUCGUACUCUGUAUGUAUGUGUGUGUGACAAAUAAAAUUUGAUUUUAUUAGGAUUUGAUUCAGCAAGUGUUUUACUCUAAUAGUAAAUAAAGAACAAAGAACGAUCAUAAGGUUGAGUUUUUUUUACCGUCACCUACAGAUGCAGGAUCCAUCGAGUCCACCAUAUUUUCUUAGUGACAUGCCUUUCCCACUCGUAAUUACGACUUUGAUGGAACACUUAUGGUGGAAAGAUAAUUAAAACAGUCUAAUUACUGUGUUAAGGUUUUUUUCCCCUACUGGUUUAUAAUGGAUCUAGUCUUGUUAAUUAAGCUCAUUAAGCUGAGAUGUAAACCUCUUAAUCUCAUCAGAUUACUUAAUCAAUCGGAUCACAGAAUAAAGACAACAUUCAUGCAUACAAACGGUUUCAUUCUCAUGUUUGAAUGUAGGAAUUUUUCUCCAUGUUUUAUAGCUUCCUGUGCAGUGUGUGGACGACACGAUGGGAUUAAACGCCGUGAUCGUCUACGGAGAUCAGGAAUUCCUGAUGCUGCUGCAAGAGAGACAGCAACCGAGAUGGAGAGAGAGAGUGAAUGAUUUGAACACACAACCUUCCUAUCCAAAUUCCUAACCACUAAGACACCAAUCCCCUGCCUGAGUCUGUGAACCAUAGAAUCUGAAGACAGUCAAUGGAAGACAGUCAAAGGCAACAAUGGAGACCUUAAAUGUUUUAUUAAAUGUGUCAUUUAAUAAAACCUGAUUUAUGUGAA